rnacentral:rRNA from 1 species
CAUUGGGAUGCUUAAACAUGCAAGUCGAACGGUCUCUUCGGAGAUAGUGGCGGACGGGUGAGUAACGCGUGAGAAUCUAGCUUCAGGUCGGGGACAACCACUGGAAACGGUGGCUAAUACCGGAUGUGCCGAAAGGUGAAAGAUUUAUUGCCUGAAGAUGAGCUCGCGUCUGAUUAGCUAGUUGGUGUGGUAAGAGCGCACCAAGGCGACGAUCAGUAGCUGGUCUGAGAGGAUGAUCAGCCACACUGGGACUGAGACACGGCCCAGACUCCUACGGGAGGCAGCAGUGGGGAAUUUUCCGCAAUGGGCGAAAGCCUGACGGAGCAAUACCGCGUGAGGGAGGAAGGCUCUUGGGUUGUAAACCUCUUUUCUCAGGGAAUAAAAAAAUGAAGGUACCUGAGGAAUAAGCAUCGGCUAACUCCGUGCCAGCAGCCGCGGUAAUACGGAGGAUGCAAGCGUUAUCCGGAAUGAUUGGGCGUAAAGCGUCCGCAGGUGGCACUGUAAGUCUGCUGUUAAAGAGCAAGGCUCAACCUUGUAAAGGCAGUGGAAACUACAGAGCUAGAGUACGUUCGGGGCAGAGGGAAUUCCUGGUGUAGCGGUGAAAUGCGUAGAAAUA